rnacentral:tRNA from 1 species
GGGAAUGUGGCUCAGUGGUAGAGUACCUGCUUAGCAUGCAUGAAGCCCUGGGUUCCAUUCCUUGUACCA